rfam:Xiphophorus maculatus strain JP 163 A Contig357.36, whole genome shotgun sequence.
ACAAAGGCCCUUUUAAGGGCCACACAAAUGGACCUGGGAGAAAAG